rnacentral:tRNA from 2 species
GCCCGGGUGGUGAAAUUGGUAGACACAACGGACUUAAAAUCCGUCGCAACUAAACAUUGCAUACCGGUUCGAUUCCGGUUCCGGGCACCA